rnacentral:rRNA from 1 species
AGGAAAAGAAACUAACAAGGAUUCCCCUAGUAACGGCGAGUGAAGCGGGAAGAGCUCAAAUUUGAAAUCUGGUAGCCUUCGGUUGCCCGAGUUGUAAUCUAGAGAAGUGUUUUCCGUGCCGGCCCAUGUACAAGUCCCUUGGAACAGGGCGUCAUAGAGGGUGAGAAUCCCGUCCUUGACAUGGACCCCCGGUGCUUUGUGAUACACUUUCAACGAGUCGAGUUGUUUGGGAAUGCAGCUCAAAAUGGGUGGUGAAUUCCAUCUAAAGCUAAAUAUUGGCGAGAGACCGAUAGCGAACAAGUACCGUGAGGGAAAGAUGAAAAGCACUUUGGAAAGAGAGUUAAACAGUACGUGAAAUUGUUGAAAGGGAAACGAUUGAAGUCAGUCAUGCUCUUGGGACUUACCUCCCUUGAGUGGGGUCAACAUCAGUUUUGAUCGAUGGAUAAAGGCACGGGGAAGGUAGCACUCUCGGGUGAACUUAUAGCCUCGCGUCAUAUACAUUGAUUGGGACUGAGGAACGC